UAUUGCACAAUGGGCGCAAGCCUGAUGCAGCCAUGCCGCGUGUAUGAAGAAGGCCUUCGGGUUGUAAAGUACUUUCAGCAGUGAGGAAGGUGGAUUAUGUUAAUAGCAUAUUCAUUUGACGUUAGCUGCAGAAGAAGCACCGGCUAACUCCGUGCCAGCAGCCGCGGUAAUACGGAGGGUGCGAGCGUUAAUCGGAAUUACUGGGCGUAAAGCGCAUGCAGGUGGUUUGUUAAGUCAGAUGUGAAAGCCCGGGGCUCAACCUCGGAAUUGCAUUUGAAACUGGCAAACUAGAGUACUGUAGAGGGGGUAGAAUUUCAGGUGUAGCGGUGAAAUGCGUAGAGAUCUGAAGGAAUACCGGUGGCGAAGGCGGCCCCCUGGACAGAUACUGACACUCAGAUGCGAAAGCGUGGGGAGCAAACAGGAUUAGAUACCCUGGUAG
rnacentral:rRNA from 1 species